rnacentral:rRNA from 1 species
AUGCAGCGGCAGCUCAUGUCCAACCCGGACCUGCUAAAGCUCGCAACCGAGAGCAUGAAGAACAUGACGGCCGACGACUUCAAGCUUGUCGCCGAGCACCUGAACCACGCAAGGCCAGAGGAGAUGCUCGACAUGACCGAGAAAAUCGCCAAGGCCAAGCCCGAGGAGCUCGCUGCCAUGAAGGCGCAAGCCAACGCUCGUGCCUCGUCCGCGAAGUCCGCCGCCAAGAUGCUGAAGCGGCAGGGGAACCAGUUCCAUGGCCGCGGGCAGUACGCCGACGCCGCCGCCAAGUACAAGCUCGCCAGGGACAGCGUGAAGAACAGCGUGCCGUCGGCGGCCGGGCGCGCUCUGCAGCUGCAGUGCAGCGUCAAUCUGAUGGCCUGUUACCUGAAACUAGGCGAGUUUGAGGAGUGCGUGAACGAAGGCUCGGAGGUUUUGAGCUAUGACUCGGGCACAGCCAAUGCCAAGGCGUACUACCGAAGGGGUCAGGCAUACAAAGAGCUGGGCCUUUCUUGUGCCAUUGUUUAUUCUUUCAGCAUAUGUGUUUAUAAAUUGUACUGUAACAGAUCAGAAGUAACUGGCCGAGUGUUUUGA